rnacentral:rRNA from 1 species
CUGCCGCCAGCAUCCUCCAAGGCUAAAUACUCCUGACUGACCGAUAGUGAACCAGUACCGUGAGGGAAAGGCGAAAAGAACCCCGGCGAGGGGAGUGAAAAAGAACCUGAAACCGUGUACGUACAAGCAGUGGGAGCCCCACCACUAAGCCAGUGGUGAACUCCACAUACGCAUCCUUUGCUGAGGAUACGGUUAACGGAGCGAAAGCGACGUUCAACCGCAAAA